CACGCCACUGCACUCCAGCCUGGGUAACAGAAUGAGACUCUUGUCUCAAAAAAAAGAAAAACAACUUAUUCCUCAGGCUCUAUUCAGCCAGGCGUCUGAUAUAUUCAAGGUUCCACCCAUCAGCUGCAUUUGGUACGGAUUAAGUGGGGAGAAAAGUGACUGCACGUGGCGGUGUGGACCAGCCUAGGGCCAGCGUGGUUGUGGCCUCGGUGCAUCUGUUUCUUUGCAGCCCAGUCCUGCACGGUGGCUUCGGUGGCUUCCUGGAAGCUCAGACCUCAUGGCUUUCUUCAGCCCUCCAUGAUGCAAGUUUGAUGAAGGCAGGGACCCGACUCCUUGAUGGCACCAUGGGAUCCUCAGUGCCUGGACAGUGCCUGACGCGAUGUGUGUUUGCUGAUUGGCAGGAAUGAACUUAUGCCCACGCGGGCCAACCUCCCCUGCCGGCCAUGUCAUGUCUUGGCCCUUGGCACAGGAAGGGGUUUGUGGAGAUCUUUUCUGGGGAGUUACUGGAUUGCAGAGAAGGAACACUGCUGCCCAGGAAACCAAACCUCAGCCUUUCAAGCCGGCUUCAUUCUACUCAUACCCUGUGCACCUCCAGCCAGGCCCAGAGCCAUGGACCAGGGCACCUGCGAGGGGCUGGGAUCCUUGCUGCCCACGCGAGGCCUGUUAGCUCGGCCUCCCUACGGGCUUCAAGAAGACAACUCCGUCCUCUCCCAACUGUUUGACGAGGACUGGCGUGGGGGGCACCCACUAGGGCCCA
rnacentral:lncRNA from 10 species